GCAGCACCCCUCCAUGGCCUCUGCAUCAGCUCCUGCCUCCAGGUUCCAGCCAUGUUUGAGUUCCUGUCCUGACUUCCUUUGGUGAUGAACAGCAGUAUGGAAGUAGAAAGACACCGUCUAAGAUCACAGGUCAAAACAGGCAUGGUUGUUUAUGCCUGUACUCCACAAACAUUCAGGAAGCAGAUGCAGGAGGAUCCGAGUUCAAGACCAACUCUGAAUGUGCAGAGAAUUCGAGGCCAGCUGGGCCUACAGGAUCCGUUUCUCAGCAACCAACCAGCCACGGAAACAAGAGAAACUCCUUCCAAAAACGGCAACUCUUAAGUGGAUGUAUGUGCCCUGCACCCGGCCUCCCAUCACAGGAAAGAUGACAGUCCAACAUUAAAGUCAAACCCAGGAACUCAGAGCUGAAGCUGUUGCUAGAAAUGAUUGUUCUUUCCCCAGUGGCUAACAGGAAGGUACUACACUGCUCUUUCACUGUUGUGGCCCAAACCCUUCCUUGCCCUCCGAGACGGUCUGUAAGCUUCGGAAUGGAAAAAGAUUGAAGGAACCCCAGAGCCGACCUCCAUCUGCACAGAUGCCCUGG
rnacentral:lncRNA from 1 species